rnacentral:rRNA from 1 species
GAUGAACGCUGGCGGCGUGCUUAACACAUGCAAGUCGAACGGGAAUCACUUCAUUGAGACUUCGGUGGAUUUGAUUUGAUUCUAGUGGCGGACGGGUGAGUAACGCGUGGGUAACCUGCCUAUACAGGGGGAUAACAGUCAGAAAUGACUGCUAAUACCGCAUAAGCGCACAGGACCGCAUGGUCCGGUGCGAAAAACUCCGGUGGUAUAAGAUGGACCCGCGUUGGAUUAGCUUGUUGGUGGGGUAACGGCCUACCAAGGCGACGAUCCAUAGCCGGCCUGAGAGGGUGAACGGCCACAUUGGGACUGAGACACGGCCCAGACUCCUACGGGAGGCAGCAGUGGGGAAUAUUGCACAAUGGGGGAAACCCUGAUGCAGCGACGCCGCGUGAAGGAAGAAGUAUCUCGGUAUGUAAACUUCUAUCAGCAGGGAAGAUAGUGACGGUACCUGACUAAGAAGCCCCGGCUAACUACGUGCCAGCCGCCGCGGUAA